rnacentral:tRNA from 1 species
GCGAACGUAGUUCAGUGGUAGAACAUCACCUUGCCAAGGUGGGGGUCGCGGGUUCGAUCCUAUACGUAGGUU